UUCAGUCUACAGAUAUACCCUGAACAUGCCCAAUCUCGUCUGGUCUCGGAAGCUAAACAGGGUCGGGCCUUGAUAGAACUUGGAUGAGAAAAAGAUCUUCAGAAGAGACUGCUC
rnacentral:rRNA from 1 species